AUCCAACUGAUGAGUCCCAAAUAAAACGAAACACGAUUCCUAGAU
rnacentral:hammerhead_ribozyme from 1 species